GAGGAUGUCACCCACCGGAAUGGACCCGUCCGAUCUUAGGGGGCGCAGUGGGAUAUUGCCAAUGGGGAAACCUGAGCAGCCUACGCGUUAUAAGAAGCCUUUGGGUGUAAAUAUUUCAGUUUGAGAAAGGGUGUCUUAUUAGCGCAUCUCUGACGUUAGCACAGAGAAGCACCGGUAAAUCUGUGCCAGCGCCGCGGUAUACGGAGGGGCGAGCGUUAUCUGAAUAUUGUGCGUAAAGCGCAUGCAGGUGUUCAUUAAGUCAGAUAUGAAAACCCGGGGUCAACCUCUGAACUGCAUUUAAACUGGUGAACUAGAGUACGUAGAGGGGGGAGAAUUUCAGGUGUAGCGGUGUAAUGCGUAGAGAUCUGAAGGAUACCACUGGGAAGGCGGCCCCCUGGACAGAUACUGACACUCUGAUGCGAAAGCGUGGGGAGCAAACACGAUUAGAUACCCUGGUAGUCCACGCCGUAAACGAUGUCUACUUGGAGGUUGUGGCCCUGAGCCGUGGCUUUCGGAGCUAACGCGUUAAGUAGACCGCCUGGGGAGUACGGUCGCACGAUUAAAACUCAAAUGAAUUGACGGGGGCCCGCACACGCGCUGGAGCACGUGGUUUAAUUCGAUGCAACGCGAAGAACCUUACCUACUCUUGACAUCCAGAGAAGCCAGCGGAGACGCACGUGUGCCCUCGGGAGCUCUGAGACACGUGCUGCAUGGCUGUCGUCAGCUCGUGUUGUGAAAUGUUGGGUUAAGUCCCGCAACGAGCGCAACCCCUAUCUCUGUUUGCCAGCGAGUAAUGUCGGGAACUCCACGGAGACUGCCGGUGAUAAACCGGAGGAAGGUGGGGAGGACGUCAAGUCAUCAUGGCCCCUACGAGUAGGGGUACACACGUGCUACAAUGGCGCAUACAGAGGGCGGCGAACUUGCGAGAGUGAGAGAAUCUCAAAAAAUGCGUCGUAGUCUGGAUUGGAGUGUGCAACUCGACUCCAUGAAGUCUGAAUCGCUAGUGUUAUUUGAUCUGAGUGGUGUGGGGAGAACGUUCCCCUAGAGUGUUUACCCCCUCUCUAUAUGGGGUAACAACACCCCUAUAGUUGUUUUUGGGA
rnacentral:rRNA from 1 species